GACGAACGCUGGCGGCGUGCUUAACACAUGCAAGUCGAGCGGUAAGGCCCUUCGGGGUACACGAGCGGCGAACGGGUGAGUAACACGUGGGUGACCUGCCCUUCACUCUGGGAUAAGCCUGGGAGACUGGGUCUAAUACCGGAUAUGACCUGCUCUCGCAUGGGGGUUGGUGAAAGUCAGUAUUGUAGUGAUGCUGGCGGUGGGGGAUGGGCCCGCGGUCUAUCAGCUUG
rnacentral:rRNA from 1 species